UACGUAGGGUCCGAGCGUUGUCCGGAAUUAUUGGGCGUAAAGAGCUCGUAGGCGGUUUGUCGCGUCUUGCUGUGAAAUCCCGAGGCUCAACCUCGGGUCUGCAGUGGGUACGGGCAGACUGGAGUGCGGUAGGGGAGAAUGGAAUUCCUGGUGUAGCGGUGGAAUGCGCAGAUAUCUGGAGGAAUACCGGUGGCGAAGGCGGCAUCC
rnacentral:rRNA from 1 species